rnacentral:rRNA from 1 species
AGAGUUUGAUCAUGGCUCAGGAUGAACGCUAGCUACAGGCUUAACACAUGCAAGUCGAGGGGAAACGACAUCGAAAGCUUGCUUUUGAUGGGCGUCGACCGGCGCACGGGUGAGUAACGCGUAUCCAACCUGCCCAUCACUUGGGGAUAACCUUGCGAAAGUAAGACUAAUACCCAAUGAUAUCUCUAGAAGGCAUCUGAAAGAGAUUAAAGAUUAUCGGUGAUGGAUGGGGAUGCGUCUGAUUAGCUUGGUUGGCGGGGUAACGGCCACCAAAGCAACGAUCGAGUAGGGGUUCUGAGAGGAAGGUCCCCANAUUGGAACUGAGACACGGUCCAAACUCCUACGGGAGGCA